rnacentral:miRNA from 1 species
CUGCCUGCAGAAAGGAGCUACCCACUGUGGGUCUCCUCUCAGCUGAGACCUGUACACUUGUUGAGAUGACCUACCUGUGGAUAGG